GCUAGAUAUUGUGUGGAGACUUUAUUGUAUUUCCCUUUAGAUGCCGUGUAUUAGCUUCAUCAUUUAUUUUAGAAUGUGGAAACUGAGAUUUAGUUUUCACAUAAUACUAAAUAAUAACGUGUAAUGGUCAAAAUUUCUUUACGCUGUCUUCCUGGAAUAUUCACCACGCAUCCAAGUGUACAAUAUUUCUGUAGAAUGAAUUGCUUUUGGGCAGAACUAGGAUUUUUCGCAAGAAAAGAUUUUUUCGAAGAGAUUUGGCACCUUCCGACUACUUGUUGAAUCCAGCGUUUUCCAGAGAAUAGUUUCAAAAUAUGUUCAAGAUAUGUCUAUAUCUGUUCAGGAUUCAUGUCGACACUUCUAUUUCAACCCAAUCUAAUUUGUUUAACAAGGUAGAGGAACUUUCAAGUGGGUGCCUCAAAUUUCAGUGGUGGAUGUAGCUGGCCAUUAAAAAAAACGAUGUAUGGUGCAAUGAUGCUUCCAUUUACCAACGGCAUCGAAAUUCACAGUCGGAAUCGCAUCGCACGAUA